CAGCCGGGGUCGUCAUCCAGCCACUCUCCUUCAGUCGAGCAGUCGCCCUUUGGCGGAGUGGCAGCUGGGGACAGUGAAGGCUGGUGGAAUGACAACAGGCACUCGCAGCCCAACCACAUGCCCUCCUCUGCAGAGCGGGAUGGUUCCAAAGUCUUGUCAGACGAGGAGGUCGAGGAGUUGGAAGCUGCAGAUGCAUUCCCAGCCCUCGGCUAUCCCAGGACCCUGGCCUCGGUGGGUGUGGGCUCAUUUGGCUCCGGUGCGUGCUGCAAGCCAGCAGCUGCGAGCAUGCCUGAUUCCAUGAGCAUAUUGCGGCUGUCCCCUUCCUUUAUCAUGGGAUGUAUGGCCUCAUGUGCAUGGCAUUGCUGACAGCGCUGGCAACUUUGCACCCUGACUCGAGGAAUAUUUUCUUUUUGCUUGCAGGUGACUUCUCAGAUGACAUGAGGAGGAUGGGCGCAGCAGGGUCCGACUGGUCUGACUGGGACGCUCAUCUGCCGGCCUCCCCCACAGGAUCUAACUUGAUUGAGUCACUGCCCAGCAGCCUGAAUAGGACGCUCUCCACCCAGACUUCCAACAAAUUUGAAGUGGCAGAAGG
rnacentral:lncRNA from 1 species